rnacentral:rRNA from 1 species
UACGGGGGGGGGCAAGCGUUGUUCGGAAUUACUGGGCGUAAAGGGCUCGUAGGCGGCCAACUAAGUCAGACGUGAAAUCCCUCGGCUUAACCGGGGAACUGCGUCUGAUACUGGAUGGCUUGAGGUUGGGAGAGGGAUGCGGAAUUCCCAGGUGUAGCGGUGAAAUGCGCAGAGAUCGGGAGGAACACCCCGUAGCGAAGGCGGCACUCUGGGCCGGUACUGACGCUGAGGCGCGAAAGCCAGGGGAGCAAACGGG